UCUGUACGCACUGUCCACUAGCCGACGUCGUUGCACUUGCAGUACUAAAACAGUAAACUGUUAUAUAUCUAAUAAACUCAGAACACACUAAGCUGCACGACAAGUUUAAUUUAAAUUGUGAGAAUUCAGAUCUAAUUGCUAACGAGAAACCAACGUGUGAAAUGUAAACAAAGUGUGUUUGGACAUCCAUCAAAAUGUCGUACAUGCUCCCUCAUCUUCACAAUGGCUGGCAAGUGGACCAGGCUAUUUUAUCAGAGGAAGACCGUGUGAUUGUUAUACGAUUUGGCCACGAUUGGGACCCUACGUG